AACAAAAACAUGUCUUUUUGAUAAUAAUUUAAAGUCUGACCUGCCCAAUGAUUAUUGUUGAAUGGCUGCGGUAUUUUGACCGUACUAAGGUAGCAUAAUAAUUAGUUUUUUAAUUGAAAGCUGGUAUGAAUGGUUGGACGAGGGAAUUACUGUCUCAAUUUAAUUUAUAUUAGAAUUUUAUUUUUAAGUAAAAAAGCUUAAAUGAAUUUUAAAGACGAGAAGACCCUAUAGAGUUUUAUAUUUUAUUAUAAUUAUAAAUUUAAGGAAUUAGUUAUUUUAAUUAUGAUAAAAUAUUUUGUUGGGGUGACAAAAAAAUUUAAAGAACUUUUUUUAUAUAAAAUCAUUGAUUUAUGAAUAAGUGAUCCAUUUAUUAUGAUUAAAAGAUUAAAUUACCUUAGGGAUAACAGCGUAAGUUUUUUUGAGAGUUCAUAUCGAAAGAAAAGUUC
rnacentral:rRNA from 1 species